UACAUAUACGUAUUUCAAGAAAAGAGAUUUAGUUAGGAUCCGUUUCGAUACUCCGUAUCCGGAUGCAUUUUCAGACGCGCUCCUAUGGAUGGAUGAAUCCCAUUCAACCAACGGCUCUUAUUCAUCAAAUUCAAAUUUCCCCUCUACUUUACCUGCACUCGUCUCUCUCGCUCGUUAAAGCAAAAUCCACCAUCGAAAGAGUUUGCAAUGGUGGUGUUUCGCCAUGCGAAUCGAGAAGGCCGACGACGAUCACGCUUCGGGACGGAAGAUUCAUUGAGAUUGCAUUUAACCUAAUCCAUAGAGAUACAGAAGAAAUUCAGUUCCGAAGGAAUCCCGAGAACGGAAUGUGUUGCAGUCGAAUCGAAACGGAUUGUGACGCAAGGCAAGCAUCUGCUUUUUAUAGCUUGGGCCUGCCUAUAUAAAAGUCGUCGGGAUCAGCCCAUUGAUCAGGUAACCCAAAUCUUUGAAAAUCAAUUUAUUUCUGGUAUCAUUUGGGGUUUUUGAAUUUCUAGGCCCUUUAAAAUUGCUACAGAGUUUUAGUCAUUGCAACUUUAAAAACUUUGGGCUAUUUUUCGGCCCUAGUAUUUCCGGCAUCACUUGGUCCUCAUCUAAUAAUUAAGUUAAAAUUUGAAUUUUUAGGCUUUUUAAACUUGAUUUUAGUCAUUGCAAUGUUUGAAAACGUGGGCUAUUUAUAGGCCCAACUAUCGUUCGCAUCAUUUGGGCCUUUUUAAUAAUUAAGUCAAUUUUAUUAAUUUCUUGGCCUUUUAAAAUUUGUUACAGAGUUUUUAGUCAUUGCAUUUUUUAUUAAAAAGUGGGCUACGUUUAGGGUUAAGGGAUAUUUUGGAUAGGGCUAUUAUAGAUUAGGAUUAGGGAGUACUGUAGAUUGGGGAUAUUAUAGAUUAUGGGUUAUGGGAUUGAGGGGUAUAUGAGCUUAUGGAUAUUUGAGAUUUAAAGGUAUAUGAAAUUAAGGAGUAUUUGAGAUUAGGAAGUAUAUGGGAUUAAGGACUAUUUAUUAAUAACGGGUAUUUAUGAUUAGGGAUUAAGAAGUAUUUAAGACGAAAGGAUAUUUGAGAUUAAGGGUAUAUUAAGGGGUAUUAGAGAAUAAAGGAGAAUUUGAGAAUAAAGUGGCCUUUGAGAAUAAAGGGGGCAUUUGAGAUUA